CGCGCGGGAGGAGGUGAGGCUAAGGCGCACCCCCAAACCGCGCUGCGACGCUUCUCCGGGGCUUCAGGGUCCGGCAGUGGCUCCUCCAUGGGACUGAACUAGCCAGACUAGGCAACACCAGAGGCGGCCCUCUGCGUGCCCAGAGGACGGAGCUGACCACAGCCACCGGGUAGGUUUCCGCUGCGCAGGAUUUUCCGGGUCUCGUUGGCAUCGUGACCGAAGCGCCCACCCGGGGACACCGGACCGAGGGGACCGGGAUUAGCGCGGCCGCAGCUGGCACGGUGAGCAGCUGCCGGGCUGGCGCAGCCUGGAGGGCCUGCGCCCCGGGUCGUGCGCUUUGGGUAGGCGGGCUUCGCUGGGGCCCAGUCCGUGGCGCCAGCCGCUUCCUUCCAGAAGACUGAGGGGACCCCGCAAGGGCGCCCCCUGUGCAGCCGGGGCCCGCGUCGGCUCAGGGGUGAGUCGCGGCGAGGGAGCCUCCCCACCCUUCGCCCUCUCAGGCUGCGCUGCAAGGCCGACAGGACAGCGCCAGCCCGGCGUGUGCGAGUCCAGGUUUGACUUGCACUGACUUGGGCCUGCAGUCCAGGAUGGUUUGUUCUUGGGACCAGACCUGACCAGAGUUGACCUCCUGAGCUCAUCAGCCUCUCCAGCUGCCAUGCUUCUCCGGAGGCUGAGGCGGCUGUCCUGGGGCAGCACUGCUGUCCAGCUCUUCAUCUUGACGGUAGUGACGUUUGGCCUGCUGGCCCCCCUGGCCUGUCAUCGGCUUCUACACUCUUACUUCUACCUUCGCCAUUGGCAUCUGAAUCAAAUGAGCCAAGAUUACCUGCAACAAAGCUUGAAAGAGGGUGAAGCUGCCCUCCACUACUUUGAGGAGCUACCCUCUGCCAACGGCUCGGUGCCCAUCGUCUGGCAGGCCACCCCCCGGCCCUGGCUGGUCAUCACCAUCGUCACUGUAGACAGGCAGCCUGGCUUCCACUACGUCUUGCAGGUGGUGUCCCAGUUCCACCGGCUUCUUCAACAGUGCGGCCCGCAGUGCGAGGGGCACCAACUCUUCCUGUGCAACGUGGAGCGCAGUGUGAGCCAUUUCGAUGCCAAGCUGCUGUCCAAGUAUGUCCCCGUGGCCAACCGCUACGAGGGCACUGAGGAUGAUUAUGGAGACGACCCUUCGACCAACUCGUUUGAGAAAGAGAAGCAGGACUACGUCUAUUGCCUGGAGUCCUCCCUGCAGACCUACAACCCAGACUACGUCCUGAUGGUGGAAGAUGAUGCCAUUCCAGAAGAACAGAUCUUCCCAGUCUUGGAGCACCUGCUGCGGGUUCGUCUCUCCGAGCCGCACCUCAGAGAUGCUCUUUAUCUGAAGCUCUAUCAUCCUGAGAGGCUCCAGCACUACAUCAACCCAGAGCCCAUGCGGAUCCUGGAGUGGAUCGGUGUGGGCAUGGUGCUGGGGCCCUUACUAACCUGGAUAUACAUGUGGUUUGCCAGCCGUCCAGGGUUUAGCUGGCCCGUCAUGCUCUUCUUCUCCCUGUAUAGCAUGGGUCUGGUGGAACUGGUGGGCCGGCACUAUUUCCUGGAACUGCGGCGGCUGAGCCCUUCCCUCUACAGUGUGGUCCCUGCUUCGCAGUGCUGCACCCCAGCCAUGCUCUUUCCUGCCCCUGCGGCCCGCCGGACCCUCACCUAUCUGUCCCAGGUGUACUGCCACCAGGGCUUUGGCAAGGACAUGGCACUGUACUCACUGUUGAGGGCCAAGGGGGAGCGGGCCUAUGUGGUGGAACCCAAUCUCGUGAAACACAUCGGGCUCUUCUCCAGCCUCCGGUACAACUUUCACCCCAGUCUGCUCUAGCAGGCCGAGAAAGACCUUUCUGAAAUUGGCUGCUUCUUGGAGAGUCAGAUACGGAGGUCUUUAUUUAGACAUGGUUGCUUGCAGAUAUUUUGUCGUUUAACAUUGCUGGGGAUAUAGGCCCUGAAACAGCAGAGGAAAAACCAGUCAAGAACCUUGGCAGGAGCAGCAGAUCCUGACCUCUGUCCCUCCACACAGCCACACUGCCUCAUGCAACGAGGGGCAUUUAAAUACCAGUUAUAGUCUCCAGUUGUCUUUGUGAUAGAGACUGUGACUGCCAAAAAUACUGUGCACGGUGAUAUGACUGUUUAAGGAUUUUAAGGGUAAAAUUUGGUGAAAGGUUGAAUUUUAUUUGGAAAACCCUGGGGCUAUGUCAAAGACAACUGGAAAUUGAAUAUUGCUAAUGGCAAAAAAACAACAACAAAAACCCAAAACCCAUCCGUACAUUAGAGCAUUAGCGCUGCGCGGAGACAUGCUGUGGCUGGCCGCGGGCCCCAGCGCUUGGAUCAGUCCCACCAUGAGUCAGCACUCUGUGCCAAAUGGGGAUUUUUGGUUUAGAAUGGAACAAACUGUCUUAACCUUUUUCCUAACGACCUACUCAGAAAUAUGGAUAAAUGAACUGAUUUUAAAAAUGCAUCUAUGAUCAUCAUUUGGGGGUAAAAACAGAUGAAAAUCCAAAGGCAAAUGAUGAAUGUAUCAAAACGGACAAGGAACAGGUGCCGUAGGAAUGUAGGAAUGAGGCAGCUCUAACACGUUGGAGACAUGGGAGAAGAGGACGCUGAUUAGUGAGGCAGAGGGGUUCCACGUUUGUCACCUGCUCUUGUGUGUCCCAAACUCCCUUAU